UACGUAGGGUGCAAGCGUUGUCCGGAAUUAUUGGGCGUAAAGAGCUCGUAGGCGGUUUGUCGCGUCUGCUGUGAAAACGCGAGGCUCAACCUCGCGCCUGCAGUGGGUACGGGCAAACUAGAGUGCGGUAGGGGAGAUUGGAAUUCCUGGUGUAGCGGUGGAAUGCGCAGAUAUCAGGAGGAACACCGAUGGCGAAGGCAGAUCUCUGGGCCGUAACUGACGCUGAGGAGCGAAAGCGUGGGGAGCGAACAGG
rnacentral:rRNA from 1 species